rnacentral:sRNA from 1 species
UAAUAAACGGGAUGGCAGCGAUAUCCUUUUAUUGGAUUUUUAAAAGCUACUACCUCUAUCAAGACAAAGCCUUCUAGAAUGAGAAACUUUUCCAAUAAAAGAUUUAGCGAACAGCCCGACUGAAC